GUUGCAAGUUUGUAUGAACGUCCUAUGAUUUUGAAGUAAGAGACUUGAAAUUUAAAAUGUGUGCUCUAUAGAUGAUGAGAAGGUGUUCAAAUAAUAUAUCUUUAGAAAUCAACUCCCUUUUGGGGUUGAAUCGGGGGAUGGUAGGUUGACUCACUCAUCAAGAAAUCUCCGAAACUAUAACACCUACAAACUUGAAAUUUGGCAGGAAGGCUCCUUAUAGGGCGUAGACAUCCG
rnacentral:misc_RNA from 1 species